rnacentral:lncRNA from 1 species
AAAAUUUGGGCCUACUUUUUCCUCUCUUAGGCGCAGGGUGAGAUAUAGGGGUUUAAUUUCAUUUUGUUGCAUAUGGAUUUGCAGUUCUCCCAGCACCAUUUGUUGAAGAGGCUAUCUUUUCUCCAAUGUAUGUUUUUGGCACCUUUGUCUUGUAUGAGAUAACUAUAUUUAUGUUGGUUUCAGAUAAUUUAUUUUGAUAAAUACUAUUUCAUGGUCAUUUGAGAACAUUCUCAGAGCAGAAAAAAAAAUUUUUUGAGUUGUCUAUCAUGCACGUUCCUAACUGGAGGCUGAACAAGGCAGCAUGACUUUCAUUUUUCUUUCUUCUGUUUGUAGCUGUAGAUAGACAAAAUGCCUUUAUUUUAUUUGUUUUGUGGUUCUAAGGAUUGAACUCAGUGCCUCAUACAUGCUAGGCAAGUACUUUGCCAUUGAGCCAGGCCCUAGCUCUGUUUUUCUUUUUUCAUUUCUUUUACCAUAAGCAACUGAGCCUUUUGAAGUGUAUUUAGUGCCAGAGUUUCUGCAUUUUUGUGAUUUUUAUAGGUGAUAUUGCUGCUAAAAUUGCUGCUUCCCAGUGUAGUGCUGAAAUACUGUCUAGUAUUACAAGUUACAAGAAGACUGUGAUAUGCCUUAUGGAAACAAUGUAUGUGAUAGAUAAGCAUCCUUAGGUAUGAGUUAUAGUGUUAUUGGCACUUAGCUCAAUGUUAAUGAAUCAAUAAUAUAUAUUAAAGAUGUCUUUAAAUCAGACUCACAUAAAAUAAGGCUCUGUAUGGAUCAAUGGAUAAAAUGUCUCCAGAGGCUCAAAGAAUCCUGUUUU